CAAUACAUAUACAUAUAGACAGUACAAUGCACAUAGUAUAUACAUAAAAAAGUUCUGUAGUAAAUGUUCUAAUAUUUUCGUGUGCCACUGUAUCUACACCUCACUACCACUACAUGUAUUUCAGUAUUCCAACUAUUCCAGUGUCCACUAUUUCAAAUAUUUCAAAUACCCCUAUUGAUAUAUCUCGAUCUUCAAUAUUCUAAUAUUCUAACAUCAGCAAGAUCUCCGAUACAUUAAUUCUCGCAUAUUCCAAUCCAAGUGUCACAGUAGGUUAAUAGCAUUUCAAGAUUCGAAGGACGCGUGCAAAAUGCUUGCGUAAUCCGGACGCGUCGCGUCGCAAGCAAUGCACCGGUGGUAAACAGUGCGUUGGCCGGGAUGAUUGCCUGCGUGGGUCAUUACAAACUGGGUCAAUAGGACGGAAUAUCUGCUUGCAAACUCAAGACACGGCCAAUAAACAAUCGCAGUCUUUAGUGACCAAUUUAUAAAUACGGAAAAUUUCUUUUCCAUGUGAACAUUCAAAAUAUGCUACCUAGUAACUUCAUCAGCUUAGAACUAGAUCAUAUACUUAACAAAACACUCGAACUUGCAAUUAUAUGCGCUCGAUGAUUUCCAUAAUCGCUCCUAUUUGAACAACAUCUUUCUCAAUUUCGUUACACAUUUUAGCUGCGAGUAUACGAUCGCAUUUGUUAUGCACCAGUGAUGUAAAUAGAAAUUUGCAUAACGUGUAUGCAAAGCAUUAUCGGUCGCGUGAGACAAAUAAUCGCAAUCAAACCAAUCUCGAAGAACAUAAUACAAAGCGGAAACUAAAAAUCAAAAGAGGCGUAGCGGCUUGAUAAAAAGUUUGAAGAGAAAAACGCUGUCGCCAGUCAGAAUCUUUCAGUCGUGAAAUCACACGAUAGUCACGAGGCAUCGCGUUCCGAAAAUGAUCUAGAGGGAAAAUAACGGAGACUUCAGGAACAUCAAAUUAAGCCUUCGCAAGUUUCUUGUCACAUGCAACCAUGAUGCAAGGACGCAUGAGAGCCAUAAGUACUACAACAGCGAGUGUUUCAAAGCCAUUUGGAUGCAAUUGUACGCAGAUGAGAUAAAUCGUGAAGAAGGAGCAAGACUGACAGAUCGUAAGCCUAACAGAAACAGAGAAUCCAGCGAAGAAGAUUCGAAGUAGUAGAGGAAGAUACAGAAUAUUUGUUAUUUCGAGAAAAAUGUGCAAUGGAAAACUAAGAUCUAAGAUUCUAAAAAUUAUAUUGGACACGAUUUUUUUAUAAUUCUUUAAGCAACUAAAUUCCAUUUGUCCGAAAACUCAAGACGUCAAAGAAAUGAAACAAAUGCAAAGAAUUAAAAAAAUAUAACGUCAGUUUCGAAUUAUGAAAUCUUAAGUUGUGUAGUCAUUUCGAAUGGGGGAAAACUGGGUCACUGGUACAGGGCAGCUGAUGAAAAAUCAGCUGUUAGGCGACUACGUGAUCAGCCGCACGUUUUCGACCAAGCGGAAAGGAAGACCCUUCGAAAAGGAGCUUACGUGCCACCAGACGCAUGAGCUAAAUUACAUACCGUGAUCGGGCUCCUUUUCUUGUCUAACCAAUUUUAUUAAUUACUGGCUCUACUGUGGAUUGUUGGAUACAGUGAGUAUUACACACAGCACCCCUGCAGAGAAAUUAGUAUCCAAAAGAAUAAUCUGGCGCUUGAAGUUCUGUUCUUUCCGGAUAAGAGUUAUCUGCCAAUUAAGCAAGCCAAGCAGAUUCUUCAAUUAAUUGCAAUUACUCAUCACAAUUUCUGAGAACUAAAAUAAGCAUCGCUUAAUUCAUGAUAUUAUCAAUGUCGAACGACAAUUUUCAUUCAGAUAAUUGACUUUAUAUUAUGCAAACGUUUAUAGAACAAAUUGAUGAUAAGAACUUCUGUGGAAGUAUUUCGAGAGAUUCCACGAGGACACAAAUUUGCAAAGAUUUUGUUCUUUGUUAUACGAUAACUAAAUAAAGUAGACGAUGUGAAUUAUCAAACAUACGGAAUCGAAUGUAAUGUCAUGUUAUCGCGUUAGAAGAGAUCAGAAACAGCAAUGAUUGAAAGCAGUUAUUUACGGCAGUCCAUUCAACUAGAUAACAGCGAGUGACGCGCGACAUGACCCCACUGAGCUCGUUAUCAGUGGCCGCCUUGAUUGUUCUGAGAGAAAAGAGAUAGACUACGCGAUCCUAACGCAUUGUGCCUGGUCGGCCGAUGCCUCAGCUAGAUCUUCAUAUAUACAUACAUACGUCUAUUUCUGUGCUCAGCUAUUCGUCUUUGUUCUAUUCAACGAUG